rnacentral:rRNA from 1 species
CACGUAGGGCGCAAGCGUUGUCCGGAAUUAUUGGGCGUAAAGAGCUCGUAGGCGGUCUGUUGCGUCUGCUGUGAAAACUCGGGGCUUAACCCCGAGCCUGCAGUGGAUACGGGCAGACUAGAGGUAGGUAGGGGAGAAUGGAAUUCCCGGUGUAGCGGUGAAAUGCGCAGAUAUCGGGAAGAACACCCGUGGCGAAGGCGGUUCUCUGGGACGGUACUGACGCUGAGACGCGAAAGCGUGGGGAGCGAACAGG